rnacentral:rRNA from 1 species
AUUGAACGCUGGCGGCAUGCCUUACACAUGCAAGUCGAACGGCAGCACGGGAGCAAUCCUGGUGGCGAGUGGCGAACGGGUGAGUAAUAUAUCGGAACGUGCCCGGUCGUGGGGGAUAACGUAGCGAAAGCUACGCUAAUACCGCAUACGAUCUACGGAUGAAAGCGGGGGAUCGCAAGACCUCGCGCGAUUGGAGCGGCCGAUAUCAGAUUAGGUAGUUGGUGAGGUAAAGGCUCACCAAGCCGACGAUCUGUAGCUGGUCUGAGAGGACGACCAGCCACACUGGGACUGAGACACGGCCCAGACUCCUACGGGAGGCAGCAGUGGGGAAUUUGGACAAUGGGCGCAAGCCUGAUCCAGCAAUGCCGCGUGCAGGAUGAAGGCCUCGGUUGUAACU